rnacentral:lncRNA from 1 species
CUGGCAGAGCCCGCUGGCGCCAGAGACAAAGGCUGCUCGGCCGGGCGCCCGGGUCCUGCCCGGUCAGCACGCUCUGGUGUCCCCAGGCGAUUCCACGGUCGGGCAGCCGCCAGGGCCAGCUCAGCCCCCUGGGCCCACUGCACUCGAGUCCAGGGUCCGCGCAGCUGGCGGCUCACGCGGUUUCACUCCCCGGCUGAGGCCCCCGCCCGAGCUCCAGAGCGCUUGCCUGUCCUUGGUGGAGGAGGGUGGCAUCGAGCCGAGGCGGCCUCGCUGGCGGGGGGCGGGUAGGAUGGAGGGCCAGCCCUGCCCGGGAGGCCUCGAGAAGGAAAGCCACCCCCUCCCGCACACAGACCGCGAGUGGUGUGAACACACCGGCCGCGGACGAUGGGAGUUGCAUGUGCCGGGGCGCUAAGGGUUUUGGGGUAAUUUUGUUAGUGGGAUUGUGCCACCUGUGUCCACACGUGUUCUCAGUUUGGGACAGCGUGGCAUGAGACCCCUAAUUCAGGAUUCUUCCGUGGAGAAAACUCAGGAAGCACGUCACGCAGGUGUCCUGGUCACCCCUGAGGGGCCGGCACCUGUCCCCCAGGCCAUCCCUGCUGCCUUCCUGUGUCCCAGGCUCUCCGCGCUCAGAUGUUCUUUAAAACCUGCCACCAGGAAAUCCUCUUUAGCGAAGGGCAGGAGGCUGGCUGCCGCCAGGGCGCCUGGGGGGUGGACUGGGGGCCAGGCUCUGGCCUCUGACCUCAUGCCCCUGGGGGUUCCCUAGCAGCCUGGUCACGAGUGUCCUUGCUGUACCCCCUGCAUUCAGCCUGUGCACCCUCACUAGCUGUAGCAGAACCUUCUGGAACAAAAGAGUGGAAUUUUUUUUUUUUUUUUUUGGUGGCGCCCACGUCAUGCGAAAGUUCCAGGAAUCGAACCUGUGCCACGGCCAUAAACAGGCCACAGCAGGAACUCUGAUCUGAGGACUUUUUUCCCUUUCUUUUUAGGGCCAUACCUGUGGCAUAAGGAAGUUCCCAGGCUAGGGGUCCCCUCAGAGCUGCAGCUGCCGGCCUACACCACAGCCACAGCCACGCGGGAUCUGUGCAGUAUCUGCAGCUUAUGCGACUGCUUGUGGCACUGCCAGACCCUUAACCCAUUGAACAGGGCCAGGGAUCAAAUCCGCAUCCUCAAAGGCACUAGGUUGGGUUCUUAACCCGCUGAGCCACAACGGGAACUCCCAACCUGGGGACUUUUAAACAAACCGCUGCCCACCUGCCGUUCUGAGUUCAUGGUGCAGCCGGGGCUCCAGGAGGACGCUGAGCAGCAGGAGGACGGGGUCAGGGCUGCAGCCUGCUGGUGGACAGUGUGGAGGAUGGGCACGGCUGGACGGGCUCUGACGUCCAGCCAAGGGCACGGAGGGGCCGUAUUAGCCCGAGAAAAGCAGAGACCCCCUCGGCUAAGGGGACACCGGCCCAGUGGCGAUCCUUUGGCUGGUGCUUCUGCCGUCAGGGGCGGUCAGGCAGGAAGGGUCCUUCCGGAUGUCGGCGGGACGCGGGAACCGCCUUCGGGAACUCUCCCGGCAGGUCCUGAGGCUUAUGGUGUAGGCUUCACACACAAGGCCCCAGGUGCUGGGAGCCGGUUUUCCAAGCCGAUGUGUUCGGGCAGGGAGCCCACCGCGGAAGGUGUGAGUCACGCCCCCAGUCCCUGGGGGUGGUGCUGGAGCCUGGGAGGGUGGGGGCAGAUCCCUGAGUGGGAGGCCACCCCCCACCCCCGUCCCUCAGCCCUAAGGCAGCAUAGAGGCUCCAGCGGCUCAACGGCACCUGUCGCACUGGGUUGAAUAGUGUCCCCCCGACGUCCGUGUCUCCCUGGCGCUCCACAGAGAGCUUCUCUGGAAAUAGGGUCUUUUUCGAAGUACUUAGGUCCAGCCAAGACCACUACCUCAGUGUGCCUGCAGGUUACAGGUUCAGCUCCCCAACUCCCAGAACCUGUGCACUUGACACUUCAAAAUAGGUUUUUUGCGCACGUAAUCAAGUUGAGGCCAUUGGGUGGUCCCUGGGGUACCCUGAGAAGAGGACACCGGGGCCUUUGGAUGAGGUGAGAAGUGGGAGGUGAAGGCCCUUCAAGGGCCGUGGCUCUGAGAGGAAGAAUACACAAAUCAGUGAUUUUUUUUUUUUUUUUUUUUUUUUGGCUGCAGCUCGCAGCAUCCUGAUGUGGGGUCUCAGUUACCAGACCAGGGACUACACCUGGGCCGCAGCAGUGAAAACCCCAAACCCUAACUACCAGGCCACCAGGAAGCUCACACAUUUUCACUGCGCAAAAUGUUUUUCUAACGUUCCAUGCGUGGAGCCAUGUUCCCUGGGACCACAGAACGUUGGCACUGAAAGGUGCCUGAAAGACGGCGCAUCUCCGUCAGCAGAUGAGGAAGCCGAGGUCCGGGAAGGUCAAUGUCUCUCUCAAGGUCACAAAGCCAGGGUAGGAAAACCAGAGCGCGGACGAUCCACGAGGGUCGAUGGGCCCAGUGUUGGCCGUGGGCUGAAAGCUACCCUGAGAAGGACCUCACGUCCCUCACAAUGCCCUGCGUAGACCCAGCGUCCCCACGACAGUCCGGGAGAAUGUCCUUCUCUCACGAGGGAACACGCGGCCCUUUCUACUGCUGCAUCCCAGGCGAAGCAGGUGCCCUGUUUUUUAAUGGGCCAAGUUGUGUGGGGAAAAAAAAAAAAAAGGCACGAUAAGAAAUACCU